rnacentral:rRNA from 1 species
UACGUAGGGGGCAAGCGUUGUCCGGAAUCAUUGGGCGUAAAGCGCGUGUAGGCGGUUCGGUAAGUCUGCUGUGAAAGUCCAGGGCUCAACCCUGGGAUGCCGGUGGAUACUGUCGGACUAGAGUACGGAAGAGGCGAGUGGAAUUCCCGGUGUAGCGGUGAAAUGCGCAGAUAUCAGGAGGAACACCAAUUGCGAAGGCAGCUCGCUGGGACGUUACUGACGCUGAGACGCGAAAGCGUGGGGAGCGAACAGG